CAUGACUGGGGUGAAGUCGUAACAAGGUAACCGUAGGGGAACCUGCGGUUGGAUCACCUCCUUACCU
rnacentral:rRNA from 1 species